rnacentral:rRNA from 1 species
AGUGAACGCUGGCGGUAGGCCUAACACAUGCAAGUCGAACGGCAGCACAGUAAGAGCUUGCUCUUACGGGUGGCGAGUGACGGACGGGUGAGGAAUACAUCGGAAUCUACUUUUUCGUGGGGGAUAACGUAGGGAAACUUACGCUAAUACAGCAUACGACCUACGGGUGAAAGCAGGGGAUCUUCGGACCUUGCGCGACUGAAUGAGCCGAUGUCGGAUUAGCUAGUUGGCGGGGUAAAGGCACACCAAGGCGACGAUACGUAGCUGAUCUGAGAGGAUGAUCAGCCACACUGGAACUGAGACACGGUCCAGACUCCUACGGGAGGCAGCAGUGGGGAAUAUUGGACAAUGGGCGCAAGCCUGAUCCAGCCAUACCGCGUGGGUGAAGAAGGCCUUCGGAUUGUAAAGCCCUUUUGUUGGGAAAGAAAAGCAGCAGGUUAAUACCCCGCUGUUCUGACGGUACCCAAUGAAUAAGCACCGGCUAACUUCGUG